rnacentral:rRNA from 1 species
UCCUACGGGAGGCAGCAGUGGGGAAUAUUGCACAAUGGGGGGAACCCUGAUGCAGCGACGCCGCGUGAGUGAAGAAGUAUUUCGGUAUGUAAAGCUCUAUCGGCAGGGAAGAAAAUGACGGUACCUGACUAAGAAGCCCCGGCUAACUACGUGCCAGCAGCCGCGGUAAUACGUAGGGGGCAAGCGUUAUCCGGAUUUACUGGGUGUAAAGGGAGCGCAGACGGCUGCGCAAGUCUGGAGUGAAAGGCGGGGGCCCAACCCCCGGACU